rnacentral:rRNA from 1 species
AGAGUUUGAUCCUGGCUCAGGAUGAACGCUGGCGGUAUGCCUAACACAUGCAAGUCGUACGAGAGUUUUUAACUCUAGUGGCGGACGGGUGAGUAACACGUGAGAAUUUGCCUUUAGGAGGGGGAUAACAAUUGGAAACGAAUGCUAAUACCCCAUAUGCUUUCGAGUGAAAUGAAUUUUUUAUUUGCCUAAAGAGAAGCUCGCGGCUGAUUAGCUUGUUGGUAAGGUAAGAGCUUACCAAGGCGACGAUCAGUAUCUGGUUUGAGAGGACGAUCAGACACACUGGAACUGAGACACGGUCCAGACUCCUACGGGAGGCAGCAGUGGGGAAUUUUCCGCAAUGGGCGAAAGCCUGACGGAGCAAUACCGCGUGAGGGAAGAAUGCCUAUGGGUUGUAAACCUCUUUUUUUCAGGGAGGAAUAAAUGACGUGUACCUGAAGAAUAAGCAUCGGCUAACUCCGUGCCAGCAGCCGCGGUAAGACGGAGGAUGCAAGUGUUAUCCGGAAUCACUGGGCGUAAAGCGUCUGUAGGUGGUUUAAUAAGUCAACUGUUAAAUCUUGAGGCUCAACUUCAAAAUCGCAGCUGAAACUAUUAGACUAGAGUAUAGUAGAGGUAAAGGGAAUUUCCAGUGUAGCGGUGAAAUGCGUAGA